AGGUUACUUCCGGGAAAGGCCCUGGGAUGUAGUGGCAACACCUGUCUCGGCGUCAGCAGGUCCGGCUUCCCCUCUGACGUAGCCUCCGACAAGUCCUUUGGGUUUUCUGGGCCUUUCGUGUCCUUCUCCGGAAAGUGAGGAGGCUGACUGCUCCCGAUUGCCGAGUCCGGCUGAGGUCUAGCCGAGCCUCCUCGUUGAGGAACGUGGGUCGACGUGGAGCGCAGGCCCCAGGCCGCCAAGAUGGCGGCAGCUGUUGCCGCGCAGGUGAAAUGCCCGGAUGGAGGGACAGCGGGAGCCCCCUGCAGGCUAAGAUGCAAGAUUUCACCCCCAGAGACCCUGGUGGAGCGCCUCAAAGAGGUUGCUGCUGGUAUUACAGCAGGACCUGAGCGAAGCCAGCCAGGAUGAUCAAAGAGCCCUUCAUAGUGGCUCAAAGGUAAUUUGGGGAGCUGGAGAGGAAGACGUUUGAAGUGUUCAUGUUUCCUUUGUUUUCCAUUCCACCCCCUUGCAGGGGCCCUGGUGAUGCUCCUCUCUGUGCAGCAAGUGCGUCUCCUCUGGCCCAUUCUCCACGGGAGUCUGGGUAGCGUGCCAGUCCUCGGGACGGAUGGCGGCCAACACGGCCUCGCCACCCCGUAUCUACAGAGGCUGUUUCUCCCCUUUGCUUGUGAGCGUUCCUUUCUCUGCCUCUUUAGCUGUUGAUUUACUUUUGUUCUGUUUUGCUGCGCUCUCCUUAGUGCUUCUGCCUUCUGCCGUCUCCCCGAUGGCGUCCUGUGCUCCUCCUCUCCCUUCAUCUUCCUUCCGCAUCCUCUUUGCUGCCGCACUGCGUUCGCUGCCUUAUUUGCUUCCUUUCCUUUCAUGGUCUUGUGUUUGAUGCUCCUCUUUGCCUCCUUUCCUCGCUCUGAUUCUGGCUCCUAAUAUCUUGAAAGAGCGUUUGAUAACGUGUGCCUGACCCUGCCUGACCUCGGGUGAGUGAGUCUCCCCAGGCAGCUUUUGAUGUGGUCUGUGUGUGAUUGACGAAAGCUGCUCAAUUUGCUCUUCAAAGCUCUGUUUACGGAGAGUUUGGAGGCAUCUCCUCGGGAUUUCCUCUUCUUCUCUCCAGAAACACGUCUAAAGGAUAGGACGAAACCACACCCCUUGUCAAGUGUUCAUCGUCCGCCUGGAUCCCGGAUUCCGGAUCCCGGAUCCCGUAAUGCGCUAGAGAGCAGGAUCCCACUGUCCCGCCCACCUUUUCUUCUUGAACCGUCGUUAUCCCUUGAGUCGUCACGGCAGAGCUUUUCAUCCCCAGGAAAGUUCACUUUGAAUACAACGCGUUUGCCCCCCAAAGAAACACUUAGAUUUGGACACCGAGUUAUAAAAUAGAGGACAAAUGCCGUCAGUGUUACUACCAGAAUCUAAGCACAUUAAGUGUCCUGCCUACGUAGAAUAUGGUCAAGAGCCAUAAGCGAAACAAUUGUCUCCAGCUUUGCAUUCUAGAAAGAGCAGUAGGUCGCGUUCUUCCCGAUACUGAUUACUCUGGAUCCCCAAAGCACAUGAGACGAUGAGGUGUAUUUUUCAUAGGGUUCAGGUUUCUUGCAGUGCUGUUUCUGUUUUUCAACCCAGGAAGAGGAUUCUCCCACCUGCCUCAGAAGGCUUACACAUUCAGCUGCUUAAGGAAAGAGGGAUGAGCAAAAUGUUAGUAGGAGACAUCCAGCUGGUAGAUGCUCUGAUUCUGAGAAUCUAAUACUUUAGGUGCGAUGAAUACAGUGCAUUAGAAAGAUCACUGAGUUUUGUGCUGGAAUACCUGUGUUUACAUGUAGAUUUGGACAAUUAUUAGUUGAAUGAUCAUCAGUAAAAUUUUAAUUUUUUCCCAGUCUUUUUUAAACAGUUUUGUAUGUGUGUGUAUGUGUUUUUUUUGGUUUUGUUUUGUCUUUUUCAGGGCCGCACCCAUGGCAUAAUGGAGAUUCCCAGGCUAGGGUUCGAAUUGGAUCUGUAGCCACUGGCCUAUACUACAGUAAUAGCAACGCCAGAUCCGAGCUGCAUCUGCGACCUACACCACAGCUCACAGCAACACCGGGUCCUUGACCCACCAGAGCGAGGCCAGGGAUUGAACCUGCGUCCUCAUGGUUACUAGUCAGAUUGGUUUCUGCUGAGCCACAAUAGGAACUCCUAAACAGCUUUUUGAGGAAUAGUUUAUAUACCAUAAAAAGUCAGCCACUGUAAGUGUACAGCUCAGUGAUUUUUAGUAAAUUUGUGAAGCCGUCACCACAAGGAAAUUUUAUAACAUUUUUGUUAAAUCUUUUAACCUCUCUCCAUUUUUUCCCCCUUCAUCUUAACACGGCACUCACACGGUGCCUUGAUCACAAACGCGGCCGCAAUCCUAAUCCUUCCAUGCUUUGCGUCAUGACUUUGUUGCUGCUUCCACUGAGAGGUAGGACUGCUCUCCCCAGGCCUCGGGUCUGGGGCUGGCCUUGUGACCGACUCUGACAAAAAGUCAAAGUGUGGCUGCAGCGAAGGUGCACCCCGUUCUGAGCCUAAACCUCAGAUGGCUCUGCAUGUGCUUCUGCUUGCUCUUUUGGAGCCCUGCCGUCUUCACCACGGGUAGAGGUUGGGCCAGUGGGCUGGGAAAUGAAAAAUCAUGCAGGGAGAGGCCCCACCUCCACUUAGGCCAUCUCAGAUCAGCCUCCCCCAGCUGCCCUCCCCCUAACCACCCCAGAGACUGGCCCAGUGCAGCCAGCCAG
ensembl:lncRNA